AUUGAACGCUGGCGGCAUGCCUUACACAUGCAAGUCGAACGGCAGCGGGCCCUUCGGGGUGCCGGCGAGUGGCGAACGGGUGAGUAAUGCAUCGGAACGUACCCGGGAGAGGGGGAUAACCGGCCGAAAGGCUGGCUAAUACCGCAUGAACUCGGAAGAGCAAAGCGGGGGACCUUCGGGCCUCGCGCUCUCGGAGCGGCCGAUGUCCGAUUAGGCUAGUUGGUGGGGUAAAGGCCCACCAAGGCGACGAUCGGUAGCGGGUCUGAGAGGACGAUCCGCCACACUGGGACUGAGACACGGCCCAGACUCCUACGGGAGGCAGCAGUGGGGAAUCUUGGACAAUGGGCGCAAGCCUGAUCCAGCAAUGCCGCGUGGGUGAAGAAGGCCUUCGGGUUGUAAAGCCCUUUCGGCGGGGAAGAAAUCGGUCAGGCGAAUAGUCUGGCCGGAUGACGGUACCCGCAGAAGAAGCACCGGCCAACUACGUG
rnacentral:rRNA from 1 species